rnacentral:rRNA from 1 species
AGCGAACGCUGGCGGCAGGCUUAACACAUGCAAGUCGAGCGGGCAUAGCAAUAUGUCAGCGGCAGACGGGUGAGUAACGCGUGGGAACGUACCUUUUGGUUCGGAACAACUGAGGGAAACUUCAGCUAAUACCGGAUAAGCCCUUACGGGGAAAGAUUUAUCGCCGAAAGAUCGGCCCGCGUCUGAUUAGCUAGUUGGUGAGGUAACGGCUCACCAAGGCGACGAUCAGUAGCUGGUCUGAGAGGAUGAUCAGCCACAUUGGGACUGAGACACGGCCCAAACUCCUACGGGAGGCGGCAGUGGGGAAUAUUGGACAAUGGGCGCAAGCCUGAUCCAGCCAUGCCGCGUGAGUGAUGAAGGCCCUAGGGUUGUAAAGCUCUUUUGUGCGGGAAGAUAAUGACGGUACCGCAAGAAUAAGCCCCGGCUAACUUCGUGCCAGCCGCCGCCGUAA